UACGUAGGGGGCAAGCGUUAUCCGGAUUUACUGGGUGUAAAGGGUGCGUAGGUGGUAUGGUAAGUUGGAUGUGAAAUUUGGGGGCUCAACCCCUAAGCUGCAUCCAAAACUGCUGAACUAGAGUGCAGGAGAGGAAAGCGGAAUUCCGAGUGUAGCGGUGAAAUGCGUAGAUAUUCGGAGGAACACCAGUAGCGAAGGCGGCUUUCUGGACUGUAACUGACACUGAGGCACGAAAGCGUGGGGAGCGAACAGG
rnacentral:rRNA from 1 species